GGACAGCCACAGAUGUAAGGAGGAAUGGAACCCGUAGAAGGUUGACAGACUCCUCCAUUUUGACAUUGGUUACUAGCACACGGGUCAAAAGCUGAUGACAAAAAGAUUUUCGGACUUGCUCGACUCUUCUGCCAGAGAAUCCUGUAUCCGCCACUAAAGCAAACCAUAUACUCACCUUGAAUAAGAGAUGAUGUCACAUUUACCCAGAAAACGCUGUACUCUCUAACAAAGGCAAUACUUACGCGAUGUACAUGUCACCAUUACCAAGAGUUGGUGCAGUCCAAAGAAAGGAAGUCGUCGAUGCCUUGUCCAGUCUGUUCCGAUGAGUGACAGCACCGUCCGUUUGGCCACAGGAGACUGUCUGGAAGUUGGUCGCGUCCGUGGCUGACCAAGAACCGAUGACAUCGUUGGUGUCCACUCUACGUGCUAGGAGAAGUAUCCCCUUAUACUGUCCAGCACCAGGGCUUGUAUUGAUA